CACGUAGGCGGUCUUGUAAGUCGAAUGUGAAAGCCCCCGGCUCAACCGGGGAACUGCAUCCGAUACUGCAAGACUAGAGGAUGGUUGGGGUAAGCGGAACUCCAGGUGGAGCGGUGAAAUGCGUAGAUAUCUGGAGGAACACCGGUGGCGAAGGCGGCUUACUGGACCAAUUCUGACGCUGAGGUGCGAAAGCCAGGGGAGCGAAG
rnacentral:rRNA from 1 species